CUUGCUCUAUCUCUGGCCUCCACAUCCCCCCUAAUGGAGGAGGAAAGGGGGGCAAGGGGGGGGUAAAAGCAAGAAAUCUCAGCCCCCACUUGGAGCCAGAUUUGGGCAAAAGGUGCCAGACAUUCAGAGCUAGACCAGGGACUCACUCUGCUGGAGAUGGAGAUGGCGAGGUAAAAAGAAAUAAUGAUGUAAGGAGGGCCGGAGGUGUGUGUGUGUGUGUGUGUGUGUGUGUGUGUGUGGGAGUAGUCUUCCAUGUGUCUUGCUUGUACAAGUGUUAGCUUGUUUACUUACUGUUUGGACUGUGUUGAUUGUGCCCCUCCAACCUUGCUUUGCUUGAUGAGUUUGACUUUGCAGAAGUGCUAACUAGAACCCAGAUGCUUCGGGAUAUUUCUCCCACCGUUUGCUACUUUAUAUCUCUUGCUAGUGAUGAACCAAUCAGAGGACCCCGAACAAAAAUGUCUAAACAUUUGAAGACUGAUUUGCACAAUCGAAUAAAAGCUGAACUGGUAUAA